rnacentral:rRNA from 1 species
UGGGGAAUUUUGGACAAUGGGCGCAAGCCUGAUCCAGCCAUUCCGCGUGCAGGAUGAAGGCCCUCGGGUUGUAAACUGCUUUUGUACGGAACGAAAAGGCUUUCUCUAAUACAGGAAGCUGAUGACGGUACCGUAAGAAUAAGCACCGGCUAACUACGUGCCAGCAGCCGCGGUAAUACGUAGGGUGCAAGCGUUAAUCGGAAUUACUGGGCGUAAAGCGUGCGCAGGCGGUUAUGUAAGACAGGUGUGAAAUCCCCGGGCUUAACCUGGGAACUGCAUUUGUGACUGCAUAGCUAGAGUACGGUAGAGGGGGAUGGAAUUCCGCGUGUAGCAGUGAAAUGCGUAGAUAUGCGGAGGAACACCGAUGGCGAAGGCAAUCCCCUGGACCUGUACUGACGCUCAUGCACGAAAGCGUGGGGAGCAAACA